rnacentral:rRNA from 1 species
AUACGUAGGGAGCGAGCGUUGUCCGGAUUUACUGGGUGUAAAGGGUGCGUAGGCGGCUGAGCAAGUCAGGUGUGAAAACCAUCGGCUUAACUGAUGGAUGGCACUUGAAACUGCGCAGCUUGAGUGGAGCAGAGGCAGGCGGAAUUCCCGGUGUAGCGGUGAAAUGCGUAGAGAUCGGGAGGAACACCAGUGGCGAAGGCGGCCUGCUGGGCUUUAACUGACGCUGAGGCACGAAAGCAUGGGUAGCAAACAGGAUUAGAUACCCUGGUAGUCCAUGCCGUAAACGAUGAUUACUAGGUGUGGGUGGUCUGACCCCAUCCGUGCCGGAGUUAACACGAUAAGUAAUCCACCUGGGGAGUACGACCGCAAGGUUGAA